UUUCCUUUUCCUUUUCCUUUUCCUUUUCCUUUUCCUUUUCCUCUCCCAUGGCUCACUUCCGUGCCCUCCUCUGGGCUUUCCCAGAAUGAAAGGCUCUGCUGACCUUUGAACAGUCCGUGUUGAGAAUGUCACUGCAGAGCUCCUUAAUCUCACGGUGGCGCCUGGCUAAUGCAGAGAUGGGCACUGAAAUGCUGAAAAACAGACAGACAGAUAGAGAGAUAAGAUUAGAUACAGGAGUAACUUAGUCACUCAUCAUACAGAGCAGCUGACAUAAGUUCAUUUGUAAAGCCAACUGCUAAAAUUGCUUUAGAAGUCCUUACAUUUGAAUUCUGUUAAAGGCAGAGCUUUGAUCUGAAUUGUUUUGGUGGCAUGUGCAUGAUUUGAAUGGAAGCUCACCUGGGCAGGUAGUACCAGACCGGUCAUUCCUGGCAUUCUCUUCCACGGGGGAGCAGUGUCCAUGCAAAUCCAUCCCUUUGGGUAGCUCGGGGCAGGCAGAUAACUGAGCAUCAUGGAGCAGACAUACACUGAAGGCAUCAGCUCCGUGCUAUGCUGAUAUGCAGAAUGAAUCAUGGCUAAUAAAAGGUUCAAACAACCAUAUAUAUGACUAAAUGUAACCCCAAAACACUCCUAAGUUAGGCGUGAUCAGAAAAUAAAGGCAGAAAAAUUAAUAGAUAAGUGUUAUUCCUUCUCUUUUUCAUUAAUAUUUAUUAAAUCACACUGUGGGGGAAAUGGAGGAGGAAGGGAAAUAAAACAGACCUGUCCAAUUCCCUAUUGUUUAUACCACUUCUUUAUUUCUUGCAUUCAUUGCAGGGGAAAUUAUUUACAUUUGCAUGUUAUGUUUUGUAAUUUGGCAUUAAAAAUUCUCAAAGACACUUCCUAGGGCAGUUUAUUUUUGAAGUGGGUUAUUUGUUUUCACCCUAAAUACGAGGCCACAGAAGCAUUGCCAGCGAUGGAAGGGGCAAGGGAGUCAACAGGAAGGUGUGGAGCUGGUUGGUGCCUGUGCUCCUCUGGGGGCAUCCCCAGCACUGACCCGUGCAGGGCUCAGUCCCUCCGAAGCAAAAGCUGCCAGGUGCAUGGAUGAACCACAGCUAGAUCACUGCAGGUCUUAAUUAGUGACUGCUGAACUCUCAGGAGAUUCUGCGGCUGAAUUAGGAUAAGCACUCACAGUUCAAAUGUUAAGCAAAGUCUCUCGGGUUAUAAUGAUGGAAGUCACUCUCUGGAGCGGGCUUGCUCAUCCCAUUUUUAAUAUUUCCUGGCUGAACCACUGCACAAACAGCAGCUGGCACAGAGAGC
rnacentral:lncRNA from 1 species